UCUCAUUGCUUCGGCAGAACACACUCUGGCCUAUAAAACUUGGGUUCUCUUCUCCUUACGAGGGGAAGCUGAGUAAAAGCUCUCAGGUCAAAGGAAAUGACAGUGGCACCUCAGAGCUGGACUCGGUGCACGAAGAGGAGGAUGUUUCUGAAGCCAACAAUCGGGAGAAGGAGAUUCUCAUUGAUCGCAUACAGUCAAUAAAAGAAGAAAAGUAAGUCCCCCUUUACCUGGUCAGGCCAUGCCCUCUGCACUUGGAGGCAACACAGGCAGUAAAGCAGGAUACCUUUUGUCCAAAAGGAUCUAACUGUUCUGUAGGCCUUUGUGAGGGGGGGAAAAAGAAAAUAUGAAGCCCAAGCUGAGAAAAAAUACCAUGAGCAUUAA